UUCAUCUAGUCACCUAGGAUCUCAAGUACCGUCUGAAGAUGCUCGGAAAUGGCACAUAACAAACUUCCCCUUGGAAAAUUCCUGUUAUACUAGACCAUCUACAUCUGGUACUGACAUUGUUAAUUCUCCCUUUAGUUCUUCAAAAGGAAAUGGUGUACAGUCUAGUCGAGUUCAUUUGCAGAACCUUCAAAAGCAAAUGGUGUACAGUCUAGUCGAGUUCAUUUGCAGAACGGUUAUUCUUCAAAAGCCUCUGAUGUUUUGGAGACUAGGCCCUCGAAGGUCCGGAAAAAGUUGUUUGAUCUUCAACUUCCAGCUGAUGAAUACAUAGAUACAGAGGAAAAUGAGCCGUUGCG
rnacentral:lncRNA from 1 species